UACGGGGGGGGCAAGCGUUGUCCGGAAUUACUGGGCGUAAAGGGCUCGUAGGCGGCCAACUAAGUCAGACGUGAAAUCCCUCGGCUUAACCGGGGAACUGCGUCUGAUACUGGAUGGCUUGAGGUUGGGAGAGGGAUGCGGAAUUCCAGGUGUAGCGGUGAAAUGCGUAGAUAUCUGGAGGAACACCGGUGGCGAAGGCGGCAUCCUGGACCAAUUCUGACGCUGAGUGAGCGAAAGCCAGGGGAGCAAACGGG
rnacentral:rRNA from 1 species